UGGAUCCAGACUUUGAUUAUGGCUCAGGGUGAACGCUAGCUACAGGCUUAACACAUGCAAGUCGAGGGGAAACGAUAGAGAAAGCUUGCUUUCUCUAGGCGUCGACCGGCGCACGGGUGAGUAACGCGUAUCCAACCUGCCCAUCACUUGGGGAUAACCUUGCGAAAGUAAGACUAAUACCCAAUGACGUCCAUAGAAGACAUCUGAAAUGGAUUAAAGAUUUAUCGGUGAUGGAUGGGGAUGCGUCUGAUUAGCUUGUUGGCGGGGUAACGGCCCACCAAGGCGACGAUCAGUAGGGGUUCUGAGAGGAAGGCCCCCCACAUUGGAACUGAGACACGGUGCAAACUCCUACGGGAGGCAGCUGUGAGGAAUAUUGGUCAAUGGGCGAGAGCCUGAACCAGCCAAGUAGCGUGCAGGAUGACGGCCCUAUGGGUUGUAAACUGCUUUUAUAAGGGAAUAAAGUGAGUCUCGUGAGACUUUUUGCAUGUACCUUAUGAAUAAGGACCGGCUAAUUCCGUGCCAGCGGCCGCGGUAAUACGGAAGGUCCGGGCGUUAUCCGGAUUUAUUGGGUUUAAAGGGAGCGUAGGCCGGAGAUUAAGCGUGUUGUGAAAUGUAGAUGCUCAACGUCUGCACUGCAGCGCGAACUGGUUUCCUUGAGUACGCACAAAGUGGGCGGAAUUCGUGGUGUAGCGGUGAAAUGCUUAGAUAUCACGAAGAACUCCGAUUGCGAAGGCAGCUCACUGGAGCGCAACUGACGCUGAAGCUCGAAAGUGCGGGUAUCGAACAGGAUUAGAUACCCUGGUAGUCCGCACGGUAAACGAUGGAUGCCCGCUGUUGGUCUGAAUAGGUCAGCGGCCAAGCGAAAGCAUUAAGCAUCCCACCUGGGGAGUACGCCGGCAACGGUGCAACUCAAAU
rnacentral:rRNA from 2 species